rnacentral:rRNA from 1 species
UACAGGGGGGGCAAGCGUUAUUCGGAAUUACUGGGCGUAAAGGGCUUGUAGGUGGCCAAUUAAGUCAGACGUGAAAUCCCUCAGCUUAACUGGGGAACUGCGUCUGAUACUGGAUGGCUUGAGUUUGGGAGAGGGAUGCGGAAUUCCAGGUGUAGCGGUGAAAUGCGUAGAUAUGACAUAGAACACCAAUUGCGAAGGCAGCUUACUACACAGUUAUUGACGCUGAGGCACGAAAGCGUGGGGAUCAAACAGG